GAUGAACGCUGGCGGCGUGCCUAAUACAUGCAAGUCGAGCGAACAGACGAGGAGCUUGCUCCUCUGACGUUAGCGGCGGACGGGUGAGUAACACGUGGAUAACCUACCUAUAAGACUGGGAUAACUUCGGGAAACCGGAGCUAAUACCGGAUAAUAUAUUGAACCGCAUGGUUCAAUAGUGAAAGACGGUUUUGCUGUCACUUAUAGAUGGAUCCGCGCCGCAUUAGCUAGUUGGUAAGGUAACGGCUUACCAAGGCAACGAUGCGUAGCCGACCUGAGGGUGAUCGGCCACACUGGAACUGAGACACGGUCCAGACUCCUACGGGAGGCAGCAGUAGGGAAUCUUCCGCAAUGGGCGAAAGCCUGACGGAGCAACGCCGCGUGAGUGAUGAAGGUCUUCGGAUCGUAAAACUCUGUUAUUAGGGAAGAACAAAUGUGUAAGUAACUAUGCACGUCUUGACGGUACCUAAUCAGAAAGCCACGGCUAACCACGUG
rnacentral:rRNA from 1 species